rnacentral:rRNA from 1 species
ACACGGGGGGCGCAAGCGUUAUUCGGAAUUAUUGGGCGUAAAGGGCGUGUAGGCGGUUUUAUCGGUCAGAUGUGAAAGCCCAGGGCUCAACCCUGGACGUGCAUUUGAAACAGUAAGACUUGAGUACGAUAGAGGAAAGCGGAAUUCCUGGUGUAGAGGUGAAAUUCGUAGAUAUCAGGAGGAACACCGAUGGCGAAGGCAGCUUUCUGGACCGAAACUGACGCUGAUGCGCGAAGGCGUGGGUAGCGAACAGAAUUAGAAACCCCAGUAGUCC